CUUCCGCCUGCGGACUUCCGCGACGACACCUUCGUCACCGACAACAUCCAUUUGGGCUGGCACAUCAAGCGCCUCUGCACCGGCCAGAAGACUUUCUGCCAUAUAUGCAAAGAAGAAAUAAAUGUGCCUAAUGCUUAUAUGAUGGAGCGACCCCAACCUCAUACCCUCAAGCAACAACAAUCAACAUUGGACAUCCAGUCGUCGUUACUAACCCCACUGUAGCUGCACCCUGGACUAACGGCUGUAGCUAUUGUAGUCACACUUGGGGUUUCUAUAUGCAACUGAGUUUGUUUCCAAAAAGUUUCUCUUUGUUGCAUGAACUUGGGUUUCAUGUUUAUCGAAGUUGAUGCAGGUUUGCUA